GGAAAAGGCAUAGAAAGAUGCUGUGAAGGUCCCUUGUUGCCUUUCCUACCCUGUGAGUGCUGCCAUGAACUGUUUCUCCUCUGGGAAGCCCCUCUGCCACGUGCCCCUCUGCCCCAGAGCCAGCCGAUUAUGGAAUGAGACCUCCACAGACUGUCUACCAGAUGGCUUCCGUUCUACAGAAUCAACUAAGUGACAGAUGUUAGCUUGUGUUUUCUGCCAUCAAUAAAUUCAAAUGUUAUUUGUAGGAAAAUGGAUGCACCUUGAUACCAUAAUGAAAGAACCAGAAUCUGGAUUGCUUCCAGGCCAUCCAGACAGCUAUUUCAACUGGAACAAGUGACCUUUGGAACAGACCAGAACAUAGCAACUUGGCCAGACAGAGGGGAGGAA